GUUAUGUUUUUUGUGAACGUUUAUCGUGAGUAAUUUAGUAAAUUCACCGGCAGUGUUCGGUGGGAAUGCUAGUCACAUGCUAGUCACAUGCUAAUGUAAAAAGCUGGUUUUUGAUAUAAAUAUGAACUUGAUUGAACAAAACAUGCAUGUAUUGUAUAACAUAAUGUCCUAGGCGUGUCAUCUGAUGAAGAUCAUCAAAGGUUAGUGCUGCAUUUAGCUGUGGUUUGGGUUUAUGUGACAUUAUAUGCUAGCUUGAAAAAUGGGUGUCUGAUUAUUUCUGGCUGGGUACUCUUUCGUUGUAAAGCCUUUUUGAAAUCGGACAGUGUGGUUGGAUUAAGCAUGUCCCAGUUUAGGUCACCUAGCAGCACGAGCUCUGAAGAUAGAGGGGAGCAAUCAAUUCACAUAUGGUGUCCAGAGCACAGCUGGAGGCAGAUGGUGGUCUAUAGCAAGUGGCAGCGGUGAGAGACAUGUUUCUGGAAAGGUGGAUUUUUAAAAGUAGAAGCUUGAAUUGUUUGGGUUGGCAGUGUGUGCUAAAGCAGUGAAAAAAACAAACUUAGGGAGGAGGCUUCUAAUGUUAACAUGCAUGAAACCAAGGCUUUUAUGGUUACAGAAGGCAACAAAUGAGAGCACCUGGGGAGUAGGAGUGGAGCUAGGCACUGCAGGGCCUGGAUUAACUGCUACAUCACCAGAGGAACAGAGGAGGAGUAGGAUAAGGGUACGGCUAAAGGCUAACAGAACUGGUCGUCUAGUACGUUCGGAACAGAGAGUAAAAGGAGCAGGUUUCUGGGCGCGAUAUAAUAGGUUCAAGGCAUAAUGUACAGACAAAGGUAUAGUAGGAUGUGAGUUCAUUGGAGGUAAACCUAGGCAUUGAGUAAUGAUGAGAGCGAUAUUGUCUCUAGAGACGUUUAAAUCAGGUGAUGUCACUGCAUAUGUGGGAGGGGGAACUAAAUGGUUGGUUAAGGCAUAUUCAGCAGUGCUAGAGGCUCUACAGUGAAAUACUAACCAGGACAGUAAUGGACAAGGCAUAUUGAUAUUAGGGAGAGGCAUGCGUAGCCGAGUGAUCAUAGGGUUCCAGUGAGUGGUUGGGCUGGCUGGAGACACGGCGAUUCAGACAGCUAGCAGGCCGGGG
rnacentral:lncRNA from 1 species